CAUAGGCUACUCCCUUCAUUUAUCACCCAGCCAUUGGGAUUCUCGAGCUCGGAUUGCCCCCCAUGGCCGACAUAUCGCCCUCAGGACACCGCCUAAAUCCUCUCAACCCCAAGCUACUCCUCCCUGCUUGCCAGCGUGACGCCUUCCCCUCGUCGCCCGGAAGCUCCCUUCGCUGCAGUUCCAGCUCCAGGCGUCGAGCGCAUGCAGCAAAGGAUGGCCCACGGCCACCUCUGCUGCCAGCGAGGCCAUCGCUGUUGCGCCUCUCCCCGGCGGGAAAAAGACACCAGGGCGGAUGCGGCUCACCUCAUUGAGCAUUCAGGUGGCUAGCUUGCGUGAAACAAUGGUCGGUGGCCCCUGCAGUCACCGCCGAAGCCUCCCCUGCUCCUGCUCUAUUGAAUAGGAGGAGGUAGAAGAAGCUGCCAGGUGGGUCCCGCUGGUCGGACAAUGAACCGGGGCCGAGCCACUACCAGGCAGGCCCCACCUGUAAGCCGCAGAUCGACCGAGCCCGACACUUAACUAGAAGUGCCCCACACUGGUUCCACGAUCCCGCGGUGAAGGCGUAACUCAGGAGGUACACUUUUGAUGUCACUGAGGGCCGGCGCGACUGGGCUGGCCCACUCCCUCUCGAGCGCCCUUGGGUCGUUAUAGCCCCCCUUGUAUAAACC
rnacentral:lncRNA from 1 species